rnacentral:rRNA from 1 species
GACGAACGCUGGCGGCGUGCUUAACACAUGCAAGUCGAACGGAAAGGCCCUGCUUUUGUGGGGUGCUCGAGUGGCGAACGGGUGAGUAACACGUGAGUAACCUGCCCUUGACUUUGGGAUAACUUCAGGAAACUGGGGCUAAUACCGGAUAGGAGCUCCUGCUGCAUGGUGGGGGUUGGAAAGUUUCGGCGGUUGGGGAUGGACUCGCGGCUUAUCAGCUUGUUGGUGGGGUAGUGGCUUACCAAGGCUUUGACGGGUAGCCGGCCUGAGAGGGUGACCGGCCACAUUGGGAAUGAGAUACGGCCCAGAAUCCUACGGGAGGCAGGAGUGGGGAAUAUUGGAAAAUGGGCGGAAGCCUGAUGCAGCAAAGGCGCGGGCGGGAAGAAGGGCUUCGGGUUGGAAACCGCUUUCGCCUGGGAAGAAGGGGGAGUGAAGGUAAUGGGUAAAGAAGCAACGGCUAAAUACGUG